AGCGUUGUCCGGAAUCACUGGGCGUAAAGGGCGCGUAGGUGGCUUGCCAAGCGUGUGGUGAAAGCCCGGAGCUCAACUCCGGGUCUGCCAUGCGAACUGGCAGGCUUGAGCACGGUAGAGGCCAAUGGAAUUCCGGGUGUAGCGGUGGAAUGCGUAGAGAUCCGGAAGAACACCGGUGGCGAAGGCGGUUGGCUGGGCCGUAGCUGACACUGAGGCGCGACAGCGUGGGGAGCAAACAGGAUUAGAUACCCUGGUAGUCCACGCCGUAAACGAUGGGCACUAGGUCCUUGGGGGAGCGACCCCGUGAGGGCCGGCGCUAACGCAUUAAGUGCCCCGCCUGGGGAGUACSGCCGCAAGGCUG
rnacentral:rRNA from 1 species